ACGUGAGCAGUUCUUGCGUUUUGCCGACGCUUUCCUGAGCGCGUCGAGUAUUUUAAAGACGGGCCACUUGCUGAUGGAAGGAGGACCUUUGGUAGCCAUGCGAGCACUCCGGCGGAUCGCCGAGACCGGCGAGGCGCUGUCAUCCUUUCCCUCCGUCUGGAGAUCUGGCAAGGACACAUCGUCCUGGAAGAAGUCUUCAUCCUGGCCGACGAACGACAUGCUUAUCGCCAAACACAAGGUGGCUAACAAGGCGAGCUGUCAUCAGGAGGGGAGCAGAACAAUGUGUGUCCACGGCAACGUGUCAAUAAAGUGACUAACAGACACUCCAAGGAGUCGCUGUUCAUUUUUCUGAGUCCAAAUAUGGUCUGCUACCGUAUCGGAAACAAGAUGGCGACACAAGAUGGCGACGAGUGUAACGCUGAACUAAUGGGAAGUCCACAAACCAAUGGGUGACGUCACGGUGACUACAUCCAUUAUUUAUAUAUAGUCUAUGUAAUUAAUCAAUGGUUCUGUUCCUUUGUUGGUGAUUUAGAUUUUUAGCAAAUGUUUAGUAAUUUGUAGUAGCCUACUGUGGCUUUGACUGUCUAUUUUUGAAGUGGUUAGUAGCUACAUGGGAGUAUAU